GCCCUGCUUCCCGGAGCGGUCAGGCCCAGCCCCGAGGCGGCGUGCGGGGAGGCCCCGGCGCGCGGCCUCAACCAGAGGCCCGGACCCACUUCCCAGCGCUCGUCCCCUCCCUCAGUCGCGUCCCCACAGUGACUCUGCUCACUCCAUGCCUCACCUCGAGGGGACACCGAGACCGAGAAGGGAACCCUAGGCGAGAGCUGCAGCCGACGGUACCCACUCCUGCCGCUGCUCCGCCUCACAUUCAAACCCCGGCAAAAUGGCGCGGCGGCAAAGGUGGCGGCCACAGCGCAUGUGCAAGCGAGGCCGAGACUCGGGGCGGGGCCAGGGAUGCUUUUGGUCCCACCCUGGCUUGAAGGGCCAAUCGGAACCCCGCUCUGUUCUGCGGUGACGUCACAAGGGUCCAUGCCCUUUGACGCAGGUUGCUGGUUUGGAUUUCUUUGCGCAGACCAUGGCAGGUUUUGCAAGUGCCUCCUAGUGGCUUUUAACUGUUGGAUGGACUUUGCUCGUUCCCGCCAGAGAAGGGAGAGACCGUCCAUUCUAGAACAAGCAGAAUAACCGAAUGAGUAAGAAUUUCACGCAGAGGGAUAGCUCGGUUUGGUUAAGGGAUAGCUGCACAAUUAAGAAGGCAUGAGUUCGAAUCCCCAGCAGCCACAUAAAAGCCAGCCUGGGGCUGCCUGAUUGUAAUCCCGAAUCUGGGAAAGCAGAUAUGGGAAGAUCCAUGGGGCUAAUUGGACAGCCAAUCUAGCAUCUAGCUAAUCGAUGAUGUAACCGGUGGCAACUUGAAGAUAACUGGGAUGAACGGGAAAAUUCACCCUUUCAAAAGCCAGGAGAGAGCUGGGUGACCGUCGGCCUGGCAAGCACCAGGAAGAAUAGUGAAGGCUGGGAAGUCUGCUUAAGCUAGACUUCGAACUAGUGAAAUGUAAUAAGAAAAAAACAAGGCCAAAUGAGGGGGCCUCAGCAGCCAGCUCACCUCACUUUCUCUGUUCCUCCCAGCUUCAAGCUUACCUCACAGCACUGAUACUUGCACCUUCCUCUGCGUGGCCGCUCUGCUCUUCUAGAUCCGGUGAUGGCUGCUGGCUCCCUUUGCAUUUGGUUGCAGAGCAGUGACAGCUCCCCAGGGAUGCUUUACCACUCUCUGAAACUGCCCGCUUCACCUUAACUUUAAUCCAGCAGCACACCAUUUAGCGAGUAAAAGACAGGCUGCCCAACUUGACAUGAAUUUCAGAAAACAAACUCUUAUUUUUAUAAUAGAUACCACCUGAGAACACUUACCCUAAAGAAGUAUGUGUUGUUUAUGUAAGGUUCCAAUUAAACUGGGCGUUCUGUAUCUUUUUUUUUUUUUGGUUUUUGUUUUUCCAGACAGGGUUUCUCUGUGUAGUGCUGGCUGUUCUGGAACUUGCUCUAUUGACCAGGCUGGCCUCAAACUCACAGAGAUCUACCUGCCUCUGCCUCCCAAAGUGCUGGGAUGAAAGGUGUGUGCCACCACUGCCCGGCUGAGAAUUCUGUAUCUUAUCUAGCAGGCUUGAUUUCAUUAUUAGGAUUCUGCCACUCCUCCAGCUAUGUGGCCCACCUACACAUGUGCAGGGAAAUCCUUAAAAAGCCAGUCACGCCGUGGGGGGGGUGGCAGCGGCACAGGCGCACUCCUUUAAUCCCAGCACUCAGGAGGCAGAGCCAGGCGGAUCUCUGUGAGCUCGAGGGCCAGCCUGGGCUACAGAGUGAGUUCCAGGAAAGGUCCAGAGCUAUACAGAGAAACCCUGUCUCAAAAAACAAAACAGCCAGUCACACACUCCUCCUCUCUCUUCUGCUCUCUCCUCCUCCCCCAUUAUCUCUCUACCUGCACAUCUUUCACAGGCCUGGUCAUUCUCUUCUGUCCUCCCCCUCCACCCCCAAUAAAGCUCUGAUCCUGG